rnacentral:rRNA from 1 species
AACUGCGAAUGGCUCAUUAUAUCAGUUAUAGUUUAUUUGAUGAAGAAUACUAAUUGGAUAACCGUAGUAAUUCUAGAGCUAAUACAUGUAUAAAGUCUUGUAGACUGCAUUUAUUAGAAUGAAAACCAUAGGUUUCGGCCUAUUCGUGAGUAAUAAUAACUAAUCAUAUCGUAUGCUUACGUAACGAUGUGUCUUUCAAGUUUCUGCCCUAUCAGCUU